rnacentral:rRNA from 1 species
GGGGAACGGGAGGUAUCGAGCUCGGCUCGACUCUCCCACCCUUUGUGAACGUACCUCUGUUGCUUUGGCGGCUCCGGCCGCCAAAGGACCUUCAAACUCCAGUCAGUAAACGCAGACGUCUGAUAAACAAGUUAAUAAACUAAAACUUUCAACAACGGAUCUCUUGGUUCUGGCAUCGAUGAAGAACGCAGCGAAAUGCGAUAAGUAAUGUGAAUUGCAGAAUUCAGUGAAUCAUCGAAUCUUUGAACGCACAUUGCGCCCCUUGGUAUUCCGGGGGGCAUGCCUGUUCGAGCGUCAUUACAACCCUCAAGCUCUGCUUGGAAUUGGGCACCGUCCUCACUGCGGACGCGCCUCAAAGACCUCGGCGGUGGCUGUUCAGCCCUCAAGCGUAGUAGAAUACACCUCGCUUUGGAGCGGUUGGCGUCGCCCGCCGGACGAACCUUCUGAACUUUUCUCAAGGUUGACCUCGGAUCAGGUAGGGAUACCCGCUGAACUUAAGCAUAUCAAAAGGCU